rnacentral:rRNA from 1 species
UACGUAGGGCGCGAGCGUUGUCCGGAAUUAUUGGGCGUAAAGAGCUCGUAGGUGGCUUGUUGCGUCUGCCGUGAAAGCCCGUGGCUUAACUGCGGGUCUGCGGUGGAUACGGGCAGGCUAGAGGCUGGUAGGGGCAAGCGGAAUUCCUGGUGUAGCGGUGAAAUGCGCAGAUAUCAGGAGGAACACCGGUGGCGAAGGCGGCUUGCUGGGCCAGUUCUGACGCUGAGGAGCGAAAGCGUGGGGAGCGAACAGG